UCCCUGGUAGUCUAGUGGUUAGGAUCUGGUGCUUUUACUGCUAAGGCCCAGGUUCAAUCCCUGGUCAGGGGAA
rnacentral:tRNA from 1 species